GGUGAACGCUGGCGGCGUGCCUAAUACAUGCAAGUCGAGCGAACGGACGAGAAGCUUGCUUCUCUGAUGUUAGCGGCGGACGGGUGAGUAACACGUGGAUAACCUACCUAUAAGACUGGGAUAACUUCGGGAAACCGGAGCUAAUACCGGAUGAUAUUUUGAACCGCAUGGUUCAAAAGUGAAAGACGGUCUUGCUGUCACUUAUAGAUGGAUCCGCGCUGCAUUAGCUAGUUGGUAAGGUAACGGCUUACCAAGGCAACGAUGCAUAGCCGACCUGAGAGGGUGAUCGGCCACACUGGAACUGAGACACGGUCCAGACUCCUACGGGAGGCAGCAGUAGGGAAUCUUCCGCAAUGGGCGAAAGCCUGACGGAGCAACGCCGCGUGAGUGAUGAAGGUCUUCGGAUCGUAAAACUCUGUUAUUAGGGAAGAACAUAUGUGUAAGUAACUGCGCACAUCUUGACGGUACCUAAUCAGAAAGCCACGGCUAACUACGUG
rnacentral:rRNA from 1 species